rnacentral:rRNA from 1 species
CCUUGUACACACCGCCCGUCACACCACGGGGGUCGAUUGGUCCCGAAGUGCGUGAGCUAACCCGCAAGGGAGGCAGCGCCCUAAGGAAUGGUCGGUGACUGGGGUG